rnacentral:rRNA from 1 species
CCUCUGGGCUGUAAACCUCUUUUAUCAAGGAAGAAGAUCUGACGGUACUUGAUGAAUAAGCCACGGCUAAUUCCGUGCCAGCAGCCGCGGUAAUACGGGAGUGGCAAGCGUUAUCCGGAAUUAUUGGGCGUAAAGCGUCCGCAGGCGGCCCUUCAAGUCUGCUGUUAAAAAGUGGAGCUUAACUCCAUCGUGGCAGUGGAAACUGUUGGGCUUGAGUGUGGUAGGGGCAGAGGGAAUUCCCGGUGUAGCGGUGAAAUGCGUAGAUAUCGGGAAGAACACCAGUGGCGAAGGCGCUCUGCUGGGCCAUCACUGACGCUCAUGGACGAAAGCCAGGGGAGCGAAAGGGAUUAGAUACCCCUGUAGUCCUGGCCGUAAACGAUGAACACUAGGUGUCGGGGGAAUCGACCCCCUCGGUGUCGUAGCCAACGCGUUAAGUGUUCCGCCUGGGGAGUACGCACGCAAGUGUGAAACUCAAAGGAAUUGACGGGGGCCCGCACAAGCGGUGGAGUAUGUGGUUUAAUUCGAUGCAACGCGAAGAACCUUACCAGGGUUUGACAUCCUGCGAAUCUCUUGGAAACAGGAGAGUGCCUUCGGGAACGCAGUGACAGGUGGUGCAUGGCUGUCGUCAGCUCGUGUCGUGAGAUGUUGGGUUAAGUCCCGCAACGAGCGCAACCCACGUCUUUAGUUGCCAGCAUUUAGUUGGGCACUCUAGAGAGACUGCCGGUGAUAAACCGGAGGAAGGUGUGGAUGACGUCAAGUCAUCAUGCCCCUUACAUCCUGGGCUACACACGUACUACAAUGCUACGGACAAAGGGCAGCAAGUUCGCGAGGACAAGCAAAUCCCAUAAACCGUGGCUCAGUUCAGAUC